rnacentral:rRNA from 1 species
AUGGGCGCAAGCCUGAUGCAGCGACGCCGCGUGAGGGAUGACGGCCUUCGGGUUGUAAACCUCUUUCAGUAGGGAAGAAGCGAAAGUGACGGUUACCUGCAGAAGAAGCGCCGGCUAACUACGUGCCAGCAGCCGCGGUAAUA